GGGGGCGACCUCAAGGCCCCGGGGGAGUCCCUGCGGCUCCUCUGCCGCGGCUCCGGCUUCACCUUCAGCAGCUACGCCAUGUCCUGGGGGCGGCAGAGCCCCGGGAAGGGGCUGGAAUACGUUGCUGGGAUCAGGAAUGAUGGUGGUUACACCUGGUACGCGCCGUCGGUGCAGGGCCGGUUCACCAUCGCCAGGGACGACGGGCAGAGCUCGGUGACGCUGCAGAUGAACAACCUCAGGGAGGAGGAUUCCGCCACCUAUUUCUGUGCCAAAGCUGCUCACGGCGGCGCCGGGGACGGGGGAGGGCGGGCAAAAACCACCCUCGUUGAGUGGGUGGGUGGAACAGUUGAGUGCGUUGGGUGUCGCGGUUGGGUGGGUCGAUGA